rnacentral:rRNA from 1 species
GACGAACGCUGGCGGCGUGCUUAACACAUGCAAGUCGAACGGUGAAGCGCCUUCCUUUUUGGUGGGUGUGGAUGAGUGGCGAACGGGUGAGUAACACGUGAGUAACCUGCCCCCUUCUUCUGGAUAACCGCAUGAAAGUGUGGCUAAUACGGGAUAUUCUGGGUCUGUCGCAUGAUGGGUCUGGGAAAGAUAUUGUUUCGGUUGGGGAUGGGCUCGCGGCCUAUCAGCUUGUUGGUGGGGUGAUGGCCUACCAAGGCGGUGACGGGUAGCCGGCCUGAGAGGGUGGACGGUCACACUGGGACUGAGACACGGCCCAGACUCCUACGGGAGGCAGCAGUGGGGAAUAUUGCACAAUGGGCGCAAGCCUGAUGCAGCGACGCCGCGUGAGGGAUGGAGGCCUGCGGGUUGUGAACCUCUUUCGCCAGUGAAGCAGGCCUGCCUCGUUUGUGGGUGGGUUGACGGUAGCUGGAUAAGAAGCGCCGGCUAACUACGUG